GAAUCGAACCUACAACCUUUCAGCUAUGGGACUACCAACCAACUGAGCCACACUGGUCAGGAAGUAAUGUAACCAGUGAUACGAAGGAAGCACUCACAUUGCCACCGCCCUAACACAGCUACUCUUAUUAUUUUGGUAUAUUUCCUUUUUGCCAUUUUCUGUGCAGAAUUCUUUUUCUAUAAAAUUACGUGACAACGAAUACUGCUUUCCUCAUGAAAUAUUCGACCACAAACAUUUCCCCUCAUGUUGCCACCUUAUCUUCAAGCUCAUGAAUUUCAAUGGCUGUGCAAUACUGCAACAGUUGGAAUGACUUUACUAUGUAAAUUUACUAUAUAAAUAUAAUAUAAGUUCUCUGA